rnacentral:rRNA from 1 species
ACUGCUCAGUAACACGUGGACAACCUGCCCUUAGGACGGGAUAAACCCGGGAAACUGGGUAUAAUACCCGAUAGGUCUCGAUUGCUGGAAUGCAUCGAGAUUUAAAGCUCCGGCGCCUAAGGAUGGGUCUGCGGCCUAUCAGGUAGUAGUGGGUGUAGCGUACCUACUAGCCUACGACGGGUACGGGUUGUGAGAGCAAGAGCCCGGAGAUGGAUUCUGAGACACGAAUCCAGGCCCUACGGGGUGCAGCAGGCGCGAAAACUUUACAAUGCUGGCAACAGCGAUAAGGGAACCUCGAGUGCCAGGUUACAAAUCUGGCUGUCGAGAUGCCUAAAAAGCAUUUCAUAGCAAGGGCCGGGCAAGACCGGUGCCAGCCGCCGCGGUAACACCGGCGGCUCGAGUGGUAACCGUUAUUAUUGGGUCUAAAGGGUCUGUAGCCGGCCGGAUAAGUCUCUUGAGAAAUCUGGCAGCUUAACUGUCAGGCUUUCAGGAGAUACUGUCUGGCUCGAGGCCGGGAGAGGUGAGAGGUACUUCAGGGGUAGGGGUGAAAUCUUGUAAUCCUUGAAGGACCACCAGUGGCGAAGGCGUCUCACCAGAACGGACCUGACGGCAAGGGACGAAAGCUAGGGGCACGAACCGGAUUAGAUACCCGGGUAGUCCUAGCCGUAAACGAUACUCGCUAGGUGUCGGCCACGGUGCGACCGUUGUCGGUGCCGUAGGGAAGCCGUGAAGCGAGCCACCUGGGAAGUACGGCCGCAAGGCUGAAACUUAAAGGAAUUGGCGGGGGAGCAC